AACACAGUACGUUGUGACGACGUCGUCAGUUAGUCGUCAUUUGGUCAGCGUGACAUUACUUUAUGACAACGUUGUGAGGACGUCGUGGUAAUGUUCCAUUUUUUAGAAUCUUGGCUAACGUUCCAGAAACGUCGCGGGCACGUCCUCAAAAGACGUCGCUGGUUAAUCCCACGGAGAACGUUGUAGCGACGUGGUCCAUUGGUCUCCUGAUAACUUUCCAGAUAUUGCAUUAAGCCAACAUUAUGUUUGUUAAUAUGGCAUUUGGAUAUUAUGAGUAAAUUUAAUUGAUUCAAGCUUUUUAAACGAAUCGACAUAGUUUUAUUUAUAUUUGAGAUAACAGCCUACUACAUAUUCAUAAAAUAUUUGCCAGCAAAACUACCUAACAUUUACUUAAUAAAUUGUGAUUAUUCAUAUGUUUGUGAACAAGAGGUUUACUGAAUGACAACGUUGUGAGGACGUCGUGGUAAAGUUCCAUUUAUUUUUUUUUAAGAAUCUUGGCUAACGUUCCAGAAACGUCGCGGGCACGUCCUCAAAAGACGUCGCUGGUUAAUCCCACGGAGAACGUUGUAGCGACGUGGUCCAUGGUCUCCUGAUAACUUUCCAGAUAUGUAACUUUUUGUGUUCAAAAUUUACAAAAAUUAUACAAUGGGAAUGUACAACAUGAAUACAUUUUCCAAACCGUGUUUUUGUUGUACACUGAAUCAUUAUGGUACACCUAGAUAAGUGUUAUUCGGACUAUUUUAGACCAGUCUGGUAGGAACCGCUGCGGAGUAGCACAAAUACCCGCGUGAUUCGUCAUAGACAUAAACAGAGAGAAGUAGCUCCGGCUACGUGUUCUUCCGCAAGAUGCAUGCCGUUCUGUUUAACCGUUACAGCGCCAAAAGUGAUGGACAUGUUUAUAUAUUAUAUGUUGUGUUUGUGAAUGAAGGAGAUUUAUUGGAUGGGGCACGCGCGAGACAAAUUCGAAAUUUUAAAUGAGCCAGUCUAACGGACUUUCGGAGAAUCUUGAGUACUGCGCAUGCGCAUCAUUUUGUUCUGUAACGGUCGACUUCCAGCAGACGGACACGGAGUAAAAGCAGCUGGAGGAGAGACGGCCUGUGCAGCAACAACAAGACAACAAUGAUUAUAAGCAGGGAUAAUCUCCAGGUGGACUGCACGGGUCCAGGAUCAAGAGAUCAUUCAUCAUGCAGACCAUGUUCCAGGAGAAGCAGCGUAUACUGGGUCUGCUUGAUCAUUUUGUUGUCCUGGAUGUGAGAACAUGGUCAAAAGCUGCCAGAGGAGUAUGAUGAUGGCAGUGGUGACCGAGGUGACAGUGCAGCUCAGGAUGAAGAAGAGGAGGAACAUUUUGUAAAAAUCCAAAGUGAAUAUAUAGAGACCAUCCUCCUAUCCUUGCCUCAGAAGAACCUGAGAAAGACCCUCUUCCUCUUCUCUCACAGCUCUCCAUCAUCUACCUCUACAACACUGUUGGCAAGAGUGUUAUACACAGCUGAGGACACGGUAAUGAGAGAUCUCAAAUUCUUCCUGAGAAAGUCCGCAUGUUCAUUUUCUUGAACAAAAACUGUACAUGUAUUUUUGGGUGGGCCAAACUAUUAUUUGAAGAAAUCUCUAUAUUGUUCUUUAUACAUAUCUUACUCUUUAUGAAUGUCAUCUUCUGGAUUUUUUUUAGCUUUUGAGAAGCUCAAGGACUGUAUAUCUUUAGUAAUUGUGAUAUUGUCUGGCAGUAAAGCAGUAUUAAAGCACAUUACCUCAGUAUAUUUGUAGCAGCUGCCUCAUACAGGACACUUAGGAAAUGGUUUAAUAUAUAUUUUUUGCAAAUAAAGUAAUAAAAUAUCUGCUGAA